CCCGACUUUAAAUGUUAAUAACCUCUUCGUUCUAACACUGUUUCACAAACAGUUUGAGCCUACUUGUUCGUAAGAUCGAGGUCUAUUCAAAAAUAUAAAUUUUGACCUCGAAAGGUCUACGUAUUUUAAAUAAUUAAUGUUCAAACUUUAAACCUCGUAACUAGUUUAAUUUAAAACUAAAAUUUUAUAAAUUAAUAUAAAUUCUCAAUUCUUUUCACAUAUUCAUAAUUAUGAAUACCCAAUUCAUAUAUUUAAAAUUUUCAGGGUAUUACAGUCACCCCCCGUUAAAAUAAAUCUCGUCCCCGAGAUUUCAACCAUCGAAUAACGAAAAGGGAUUUUGAACUAAUCCCACCGUUCCAUUUGUAUGGAAUAAAAUCAUAAUGAUUCCACCAUAUACACAUAUUCUUAACAACAUUCACUAGCAGGACAAAAUAUUCGAAAUUUUGGCCAUACACAUUGGCAAUUUAACAUCAAACAUCAAGCCGCCACCCAUUAUUGGCUAAAUAACUACUAACAUAAUAAUCCCAAUCAUUUGUAAAAUCAUUCACCAUCAAUAGCUAUACUCAGCCAUUACUAUGAUUUUUCUUCCAAACUUUUAAUCACACACACGAACGAUACCAACAUUAGAAAUUUUCAUUAUUAGCAAAAACCAAUAUCAUAAAUUCCAGCCAUAACGAUCUUCAGCAAAUUUAAACAUCAAAAUCUCAAGGCAAAUUCAUCAGUGCUAAGUAAUUAUCAAAAUUUUGACCAACUCAAUUGAAUUGACAAAUCACAUAUCAAGAAUUCCAACCAAAACAUGGAAAUUUUCAAUUACACUCACUGGGUAAUGAAAAUAAGUUUAAAAUCAAAUCCGUAUUACUGUUAACAUGGAAUGAAAUCAAAAUCUCACUCUAUGAUUUUUCUUUAUGUCCGCAACUAACUAAGUUACACAUAUUAAAUUUAAAGCCUUUUAAAUCUUUCUUUUUAUCAUUUCUCUUUCCAAUUGAUUUUAAGUGCAGCCACAAAUGACAUAAUUUAGCGACUCGCACUUCUAGUGCACCAUUCACACUCUAUUAACCAAAGAAGAUAAUUUAUAUAUAUCACAACUCAACUGGCCAACACAAUUAAACCUCAUUAAUCGCAUAACCAUAAGAACAUGUGUUCUUCAUUUGUUCAGUUCGUGAUAUCGAAUCCAACAACAACGACUCUUGAAUAUGGCAACACAAGCAAUAAUUUUUGUAGUUACAAGCUUUCCUCAUCCAUUCUUUUCAUUGAACGUAAAAUACAACUGGUCAAUCAUCAAUACUAAACGAACUCAAAAUUUCAUUUCAUAAUUUUACUCAUAUCCACCAAUAAUAAAUGAAGAAAACUUCAUGGUCUUUCCACCAUUUUAAAUUAUAAUAACCAAAUCCAAAUCAUAACCUCAGUUUAUGAUUCCAUUCUCACUCAAUGAAUUUCCAUACAAAAUUCCAUUCCUGCUAUUUGGAAAUUUACAUCGUAAUUAUUGGUAAUCCCACUUCCCAUUACUUUUGGCAACACAAAUACCAGAAAUUAUGGCCAUAAACGAUAUUGGCACAAUUAAAUAUCAAAUUUCAAGCCAUAACUAUUGUGGAUAACAAAGUACUAGAAUUUUCACGCCAUAAUUCAUUAAUGGCAAACCAACCAAUCAAAUGAACUCCUCAUCAAGCGCAAUAACUCACUGGAAAACGUUUACGUUAAAUGAACUCAAGAUCUCAUUCCAUAUUUUCAUUCAUGUUUAUCCAUAACUGUGGAUGCAAAUUUCCGCCGCUUUCUUCUUGGACAAAAUUACACCUACAAAACAAUUAAUACCUUGGGCGAAGAACCUCCGAUGCCAAAGUUAGAAUUUAGAGAGAAAAAUUGUUUAGAGAGUUUUUGGGAGUUUUGCAAGAGUAUCAACUUAGGUCUUUUUAGAGAAAAUGGGGUCUAAUUUAUAGAGAAUGACCAAUCCCCUUUUUAGAAGAUGUGGCCGGCCCUUUUGGGCUCCUUUUGGUGUGUCAUGGGUGAUGGGUUAUGUAAUGGGGGAUUAAUUGGCAUAAUGGGUCAUUUAAUUGGUAAUUUAAUGGAUUAAUUAGGAAAAAAAUCCAUUAAUUCACCAAUUAAUCUAAUUUAAAUGGAAUGUUUGGAAUGGUUACCUUGUGGAGUAUAUGGAUGAAAUAACUUUUAUUUGUUACCUUCUUUGGGCAUUUUUGACUUGGUUAACGGAUGAUUGCCUGCUGCUCGUGCGUAGGAAUCCCGGUAUGCCUCAAGGGUAUUUUUGUCCUCUUUUAUCCAAAAAUCCACAUGUCGCCUUGUGAAUAUUUUUGGCUCUACAAAUGCCCCACACCUGUUGGGCUGCUCGCAGAAAAUGGCAGCAGGUGUAGAGAUCUUCUUGCUUUAGGAAACUUAGGACUACUUCCUAUUUUGAUGUAGAUUCUCUCUUUAUAGGAAAUUAGAUCCUUCUAGGAAAGGGAAAAUAAAUUUCUCUCAAAGCCUAUUUAAGUCCACCUUAACUGGGUUAUUAAAUCAACUUUGAAGAGCAAUUUAUUCUACCCUACAAGAGAGAGAGAGCUUAGAGGAUAUUUGUUCCCCCUCCUCUAGCAAUCUUCUACAUCUUGCCCAUGCAAAGGACCGUCUUUCGUUGAUUUCUUCGUCUUUUUCGUGUCGUACCGAUGUAAGAAAAAUUUAAUUUUUUCUAGUCUUCUUCUUGGAUAGUGCUAUUGUGGGGUAGCCAUCAGGGUGGUGCGACACAUUGGCUAGCAGAGGCCAGGAGUCGGCUCGACAUGGGCCGAGGAGGCAUCGUGGCAGGGGCCACUGUUUGGGCUGUUUGGCUUGGCUAGAGCCAAGGGCAAAUUGUGCGGCCGGGGCUGCGAAUUGUGAUGCUGGGGCGCAGUGCUAGGCGAGCCACAUGACUCAUGUCCUUUGGGCUCUUGGACCUUACUCAAGCCAGGUUGGAGACUGAAAGAAAUGAGGAGGUCGCGGGACUCAUGGGUUGCUGGAAUGCUGGGCAUGCAGGCCUUCUGCCUACUAGAUUGCUGGGUUGAUCUCCUUUGCUGAGUACCGUGAAUGGCGUUGGCUGCUUAGUUCUCUUCGCCGGAAGUAAGGUGGAUUGCUCCCGAAAGAUGAGGUAAAGAGGAUCAAGACGAAUGUAUUGGCUCGUCUGAUUGCUGUUGUGGAGCAUACUAUGAAUAAUGGUGGAAAGAAGAGAUCUUCCCCGCCUGCUCAAGAGAUACCGGUUGAUAACGACUGAAGACUUCUUCUGCUGCUCAUGAGGGCCCGCCUGCUGCCGAGAUACUUGUGAUUGACAUAACUUCUUCCGAUGGGAAGAAAAAUGAGGCUGCUAAAUCUGAGCCUGUGGCGCCUGCCAUGUCGAGAAUGGCUAGUACAAUUGUUGAUAAGAUGCUCAGCGUAAAGGUCCUGUCAUGCUCCCAAUGUCGAAGUCUGUACCAAGAUGUCUAUUUGGAGCUAAGUCCGAUUCACCUUUGGAGAGGCUUGCUACUAUAAAUAGCGAUAAGGUGGACUCUACUACUAAAGUGGCACCAAUGCCACUUCCUUUGCUGCUGAGACUGAUCCUGCUAGGAAGGAAGAGACUGCUCGCGUGGGCAGCUGUGAGAAAUUCACUAAACCUGCUUCUGGGGAGGCUACUGAGAUCUGUGUGCUUUUGAAGCUAGAUCUGCUUGAAGACACAAACACUUGUGCCAAGUUUGUUGAUGGCGGUAGAAAGGUUGUUUGCCCAAGUUCCUUUGCAAAGCAUACGACCCAAUAUAGAAAGACUGAUUUGCUUGCUAUGAUGUAUAUACAGCAAGGCUGCCAAAAAGGUGGCGAAGACUAUGGCAGCUGAAGCUUAUACCUUAGUCGAAGAGAUCAAGAGGUUGGAUUCUAAGCUUGUUGCUUUGAAGGGGUUUAAUAUUUCUGCCCCCACUUCUCUGCAGCUUGAGAUCACUCGCCACGAGAUCGUUGACUUGAAGACUAUGCUUGACACGAUCCAAGUUAAGUAUGAAAGUGCAGAGAAGGAGAUUGGAUGUUACAUACCUCAGAUUCAAGAUCUUAAGUUUGCAAUUUCUGAGCUUCGUUUCACUGCUUAUGCAAAGGAUGAAGAGUUGAUUGCUGCUUAUAAUCAAGUGAUCCACUUCAAGAGAAUCGUCGAUAAACUUGAACCCAAGUGUUAGAACUUUAAGAUGUACUUUUCUAUUUCUCCGGAAGACUUGCUUGUUUUUGCUUCCAUUGGUGAAGUAGUUGAAGAAGUUAGUGCCCAGGCUGGGGCAGCCGGGGGUGAAGCGUCGGAUGAUGCUGCUGCUAAGAGCGUUACGGCUGCUGAAGGUGUGGUGACCGAGUAGUCAUGGGAUGUCCAAGCUACCGUAGUCUUCUAGGUAGUCUUUAGGAUUUUAUUUGUUUUUUCUUGUAGCUCUUGUUUUGCUUGAACUCAUUCGGCCUUUGCUAAUUGUUUAUAAACAUGUUUUCCUUCACUUUUCUUCAUCUUCGCUUCUUUUGUUCAUGCCCUAACCUUUAGACUUGAUAGACUAGUGGCAGGCAUGCUACUUUUUUAUAAGUAGACAAGCUCGCGUAGCCUAUGCAGCCGUAGGUGUUGGUGUAGAAUUUUGUAAAGUUGUUAGCCAUAGGGUUGGCAGCCGGAUGCCUUACUUACAGAAGCAAACAAGUUCGCGUAACCACUAGGUUGUUAACCUUGACUUUCUCCAAUUCUGUAGGUUGCGUAGCAAGUAUCACAACACUUUAGGACUUGGUGUAGGUUGUUUCGUGCUUGGCAGAGGUGAAGCUUAUCGACUACGUAGCAUGUCGGCAGUGGAUAAAGCUUUGUAUAUGUGCGCUAGCUUGUUUAACAUUUCACAAGAAUGUGCGGUUGUAUAAGUCUAGCAAGGCUUUACUGCUCGAAGAGCAAGCCGUAAGCAGUUUUUCGGAAUCCGUAGACUACCUUAGUGUACUCAGUAGCAGCUUUAGGGUUCCAGGGCAGCUGUCUGUAGGGCGUACUGCAUAAUAUGGCCCCUCCGUCUCUAGGGCCCGGUUCUUCAUGGAUUAUGCCAAGGGACCCAAAAUCCUUCAGUUAGCUAAGCCUUGAAAAAUACCAUUGUGGCUACUUAUAGGAAUCCCGGCGCAAGCCAUCGUGCAUCUAGUUAUACUAGGGCAGCCUGGCUCAUCCACGUCUGGAAAUUUGAAGUGUAAAGUUUAUCCUCCCGUUUUGGAGAGCUGACCCAUAUGGGUGUCGGGGAAUUGGUUUACCCUCUCGCACUGGAGAGCAUGGUUGGUCCCUCGGGGGGCACAAUUCCUGCGAUGAGUCCCUAAGAAGAGCGCAGUCUUCUUUUGAAGUGCAGGAGUGAUUAGUUCCUAUAAGCAUGCAGCCGAGCCAAGUUGUGAUUACUUCUAAAUUCCUCAUUGAAAAACGAGUGAAACGAACAAGAACUUAGCUAUAAGGUAGGAACUGCAUAACAACUAGAUAGUCCUCAGCUUGUGUGGUGGUGCCCAUUGAGCUUCUUGAGUUUUCGGGCUUUGAUGUAGUGGGAGGUCACACAUGGUACCUCUUCAGAUUGUAGGCGCUUCACUGCUUUUCGAUCUUUUUUUUCGUUGUGUAAUUACUUUUGCUACCUACUCUGCUAAACUUAUACAUACCUUCCCAGAUGAGAUUCAUCUUUUUGGAGCUUUCUUUGCUGGCAGUGAUGAAGGCUUUUCUUAGGACUAGAUCUCUGGGUUGGAACUACCAGAUCUUGGCCUUUUUGUUAUGGCUGGAGAGGAACUGCUAUUGGUAAGUUGUGAUGCGGGUGAUAAUCUGCUCGCACUUCUCCUCUGCCAGAUUUAAGCUUGUGACCAUCUCCUUUUGGUUGCUUGUCUUUUGGUGGUGCGAUAUGCCCAUAGACAUCUAGGGAGUUCGUCUGGCCAUUUUCUUUUCUUAUUGGUAGGGGAUUUCUUGUGGCAGUCGAUGAUCAUCGUAGUGGAUGUUUUGGCCCACCUAUUGCCUUGAGGAUAUCUUGGCAUAGACAUGUGCUGCUUGAUGCCAUAUUUUUGGAAGAACUUAGCCAAUUCUUUGCCCACGAAUUGCUGACCGUUGUCGGUGACGAUGGAUUAAGGGAUGCCAAAUCGGUAAAUGAUCCUCCUUAAUUUGAAGCGCUCUAUGUCUGACUGAAUCGUGAUCGUCAUGGGCUCUACAUCUAUCUAUUUGGUGAAGUAGUCGGUUGCCCCGAUCAUCAUGCAUUUGCCCCUAGUAGUCUAGCUGGUGAUUAGCUAUGAAUCAAUAUGAAUUGAAAGCUUUUUCACCACCAAGUUUUUUGUCAUUUAAAGGCCUGUUAAUAGGGCUUCGUACUCUAUUUCGUUGUCAGAUGCUUUGAAGCUUAGAGUGAUCGCCUGCCUGAGCAUUGAACCGUCUGGGAUGGCAAUAACCAUGACUACUCACAAGCCUUUGUAGUUGGAUACGCCGUCGACAUGCAAAUGCCAGAAAUCUCCAUUGAGGGAGUAGGUGUGGCUAAAGUGUGUUCGGUUGCCUUUGGCGUGUCUUUUGGGUUGAGUUGUUGCGUUCGUAAAAAAACUUUGCAUCUGCCAGGGUCUACUCGUUUAUUGUUGCGAGUUUGGAUUCGGCAUAAUUGUGUGUCAUGAUGAUGACUGAGUGCGUUUGAAGGUAAAACUUAAGCUUUUGGGUUAUAACAACUAUCGCCAAAGUUAGCUUUUGAAUUUUUAAUAGCAUUGAGGAGAGCUUUUGAACUAUAGAAUACAGGUAACUGUAGAAUAUAGGUAAUCGGGCCCCCAGCUCUUCUCACAUGAUGGUAGAGCUUAUUGCUACUUUAGAUAUCGUCAAACAUACGAAUAAGUCAUUCGCUGCUUCUAGGGAGAUGAUGUCGGGUAAUUCUUCAAGUCCUUGAAUGUGCAUUAGCGAGCCUCGUCCCAAAGUGCAUGCUUCUCUACCAAAGUAAAAGAGUCUGCCAGAGUUAGAUCUUUCUUCAUGAUCAAUUUUCUGAAUAGUGGGUGGUUUGCUGGAAGGCCUUUUUGGAAGGCUGUUUUAGCUAUCGAGUCGUUGCAUUUGACUAUCCUUGCCUUCUCUGCUUUGAAUCUCCUCACAUAGUCACAAAGUGACUCUUUGGGUUCUUCUUGACUUCAAACAAAUGGUCGAACUUUUUUUUUAUCAAGUGAUAGGAUGAAUAUUCUUUGGUGAAAACCAAAAAAAGUUCAUAUAAAUUCCUGAUGCAUUGUAGUGGCAAGGUGUAGAACCAAUCUUGCGCCUUGCCUUAUAGAGUGGUGGCAAAUAUCUUGCACAUGAGAUCAUCGUUGUUUCGAUAAAGGAUCAUUGCACUUCGAUAGUGCUUUAAGUGUCUCUCCGGGUCUUUAUCCCCUUUGAAAGAUGUGAAAUGUGGCAUGUUAAACUCGUGUGGAAGCUCUGUUUGCUAGAUCUCAUCCGUGAAAGGUGACCUGCUUAUGUUGGUCAUGUUCCAUCGUAGUGCCUCGUCGAUGACCUCGUUGCGUUGGAAAUCGUGCAAUCGCUUGGUCAAGAGUCUCUUUACUUCUUCCUGAAUUUGCCUUUAUUGCGAUAGCAGAGCUCUCGGCUGCCCCCAGCCAUAACUUGCUAGUCUAGGCUGCUCUUCCAUGUGUUUGGCUCUUCUAUGCCGCGGAUGCAGUGCAUGUGGUGCAUUCCUAGCAGGGGAGCGAGUUCUUCGCAGGCUGCUGAUUGAACUUGAGCUGGAUUGAGUGACUACUUAUCUCCGUCCGUCGUGCUACCUAUUCCGAUGUAAGGUGGAUGAUUCUCCUUGCGGGCUUAGCCACGAAUAAACACUUUGCUCGGAAGGUUGCUCAUGUUGACUAUCGGAGUGUGACCCCAACCGUGAAUGUAUGCUCAUCCGUGGGCCUAGUCGAGAGUGCACGCUUCUCCUCGCGCUAAGACGGGAGUAUACGCAAUCUCAAGGGCCCAAUCGGGAGUGUACACUACCCGAACGCUCGACUCGUGGCUGGUCGAGUGGCUGCUUGCCGGGACGUUGCUGGAAAGGUUCGUCUGCCCUUGUCCUACUUCGGGAUACCUCGUCCGUGGCACGUUGGAUCCCGAUGCGUUACAAAAGUUGAUUCACCAAGGUUAUUUGUUGUGCAAGGGCACUCGUCAACUCCAUAACUUGUCGAGACAAGUGUUGUUCGCCAUUUGGAUUGGAAUAGCUUGGAAGGAAUGUGCCUCCUUAGGUAGUGGAAAUGUGGUAGACUCCGGGAGCAAGAUUUAAGUUGGGAAAUGUCAAACCCGCGAAAAUAUGUGGUGAGAAUGCACCCGGCUCGAUGGUAGGUCCGGAUGGUUGAGAUAAUCUUGGGCCGAAUUGGGCUGCUUGGAAAGCCAUGGGAGCAGACUGGGCCAUGAGAGCAGGCUGGGCCAUGAGAGUGGGCUGCUCGAGAGGAGCAGGCUGAGCCACGAGAGUGGGCUGCUUGUUGGGAGCAGGCUGGGUCACGAGAGCAGGCUGCUCGGCAGGAGCAGGCUGGGCCGCAAGAGCAGGUUGCUCGGUGGGAGCAGGCUGGGCAACAGGAGUGGGUUGCUCGAUGGAAGUAGGCUGCUCAGUAUGUGAUGCAUGCGAAUGCGAGGCUUAGGCUCAGGCCCGUGCAAAGUUGGAUGGCACGGCUUGGGCCAUGGUGGAACCUCGUAGUAGUGGUACCAUUCCGCCUAUGACCACAUUUAGUCUCGUGGAUCAUCGCGGUCCCAUUUCUUGAGUAAUAGAAUUUCACUUAUGGAAUUUUCUAAAUUUCUAGCCAUUAUAUUUUUCUUAUACAUUUUAUCAAAGAACCUUUGCAAGUAAAAAAUUCUAAUAAUAAAAACGUAUGAAAAAUAUUCAAAUGGACUAGAAAACAAAGAAAAAACCUUUUUGUGCGAGAUUAUGGAUUUCAACAAUCAAUGAAAGCACCAAUUUGUGGAUGCAAAUUUCCGCCGCUUUCUUCUUGGACAAAAUUACACCUACAAAACAAUUAACACCUUAGGUCAAGGCCAAGAGCCUCACGUGCCCACGAUGAAUGGGGGGGGCCUUUGGCCGAAGAACCUUCGAUGCCAAAGUUAGAAUUUAGAGAGAAAAAGUGUUUAGAGAAUUUUUGGAAGUUUUGUAAGAGUAUCAACUUAGGUCUUUUUAGAGAAAAUGGGGUCUAAUUUAUAGAGAAUGACCAAUCCCCUUUUUAGAAGAUGUGGCAGGCCCUUUUGGGCUCCUUUUGGUGUGUCAUGGGUGAUGGGUUAUGUAAUGGGGGAUUAAUUGGCAUGAUGGGUCAUUUAAUUGGUGAUUUAAUGGAUUAAUUAGGAAAAAAUCCAUUAAUUCACCAAUUAAUCUAAUUUAAAUGAAAUGCUCGGAAUGGUUACCUUGUGGAGUAUGUGGAUGAAAUAACUUUUAUUUGUUACCUUCUUUGGGCAUUUUUGACUUGGUUAACGGAUGAUUGCCUGCUGCUCGUGCAUAGGAAUCCCGGUAUGCCU
rnacentral:lncRNA from 1 species